rnacentral:misc_RNA from 1 species
CACCAUCAUUAUUAAGGAGAUGAAUUUCAAUAUCGUGAACUACAGACUUGAGAAAUCAAUUAAUUUCAUACAAUUAUAAGCAAUCAAAAACCCUACCAAAUUCAAGAUCCAAAUAUAAUUCCGCUACCCCUCUACCGAAUUGCCCAAGUACAGAACAAUUUCACAUACUAAAGAAAACCCAAAACUGAGAACUCCAUUGAUUUACUUUUGCAAAUUCAAAACGACAAGAAGCAAUGCACUAGACUCGGUCAUUUAAACUACAUUAAGUCGCAAUACUUAAAACUCAAUCAACAGCCUUCCUUCAAUAUCUUAAUACAUGAUCCAAAAGAACCUAUCAUAAGCAAACAUUAAAAACGGCAAUCCAGCAUAAUUAAAUAAAUCCAAAAGAAAUUCCAUUUCUUUAAGAGAGAUUUGAUACCUAUCCGACAUAGUAGCAAUAG